rnacentral:piRNA from 1 species
CCAUCCUUAUGAUGACCGCUCGAGGACA